UGGAAUUUAGUGUCAGUCUGACUGGAUGGA
rnacentral:piRNA from 1 species